UACGAAGGGGGCUAGCGUUGUUCGGAUUUACUGGGCGUAAAGCGCGCGUAGGCGGUUACUCAAGUCGGAUGUGAAAGCCCUCGGCUUAACUGAGGAAGUGCACCCGAAACUGAGUAGCUAGAGUACUAAAGAGGGUCGCGGAAUUCCCGGUGUAGAGGUGAAAUUCGUAGAUAUCGGGAGGAACACCGGUGGCGAAGGCGGCGACCUGGGUAGAUACUGACGCUGAGGCGCGAAAGCGUGGGGAGCAAACAGG
rnacentral:rRNA from 1 species